rnacentral:lncRNA from 1 species
ACACAUCUAUAUCACUGCUACACUAGCAAUAUAGUACAUAUCGAUCAAAUUAUGCCAGUGAUAUGGCACGUUAAUCAUUGUCGCAUUCUCAACCACAACACAAUGUGAUUACCGCAACAACCCGACUCGCUAGCAAUAAUAAUUCGUCAAGAUCAAACCAUCGGCUCAAAAUGUUUAAGUCCAGUUAUUAUUAUUAGGAUGUGACAACUUUAUUCUCAUCCGACAAUUACAGGAAUAUAAAAAUUUGAGCCAGAAAUUAUAAUAAAAAAAAAGUUUGAGGACCAGAGUGUCACCGUGUCUCUAACAAUGUAACCUUUAACAAUUUUACUUU